GACGAACGCUGGCGGCGCGCUUAACACAUGCAAGUCGAGCGAAGCGGCGGCCGGGAGAGUAACACGUGAGUAACCUGCAUCAGACAUUGGGAUAGACUCGGGAAACCGGGAUUAAUACAAAAUGGUCUAAGAUGGACUCGCGUCCCAUUAGCUAGUUGGUGAGGUAACGGCCCACCAAGGCGACGAUGGGUAGCCGGCCUGAGAGGGUGAACGGCAACAUUGGAACUGAGAACCGGUCCAAACUCUACGGGUGGCAGAAGUGGGGAAUAUGGCACACUGGCGGGAACUGUGAUGCAGCGACGCUGCGGGAACGAAGAAGGCUUUCGAAUCGUAAAGUUCUUUUAUAUGGGAAGCGGUACCAGAAGAAAAAGCCCCGGCUAACUACGUGCCAGCAGCCGCGGUAAUUC
rnacentral:rRNA from 1 species